GAAAGUUGCGCACGGGUGCGUAACGCGUAUGCAACCUACCUCAAUCAGGGGGAUAGCCCGAAGAAAUUCGGAUUAACACCGCAUAAAAUCACAGUACAGCAUUGUACAAUGUUCAAAUAUUUAUAGGAUUGAGAUGGGCAUGCGUGUCAUUAGCUAGUUGGCGGGGUAACGGCCCACCAAGGCGACGAUGACUAGGGGAUCUGAGAGGAUGACCCCCCACACUGGUACUGAGACACGGACCAGACUCCUACGGGAGGCAGCAGUAAGGAAUAUUGGUCAAUGGAGGCAACUCUGAACCAGCCAUGCCGCGUGCAGGAAGACAGCCCUCUGGGUCGUAAACUGCUUUUAUUCGGGAAUAAACCUACUUACGUGUAAGUAGCUGAAUGUACCGAAGGGAUAAGGAUCGGCUAACUCCGUGCCAGCAGCCGCGGUAAUACGGAGGAUCCAAGCGUUAUCCGGAUUUAUUGGGUUUAAAGGGUGCGUAGGCGGCUUAUUAAGUCAGGGGUGAAAGACGGUGGCUCAACCAUCGCAGUGCCCUUGAUACUGAUGAGCUUGAAUGAACUAGAGGUAGGCGGAAUGUGACAAGUAGCGGUGAAAUGCAUAGAUAUGUCACAGAACACCGAUUGCGAAGGCAGCUUACUAUGGUUUUAUUGACGCUGAGGCACGAAAGCGUGGGGAUCAAACAGGAUUAGAUACCCUGGUAGUCCACGCCCUAAACGAUGAAUACUCGCUGUUAGCGAUAUACAGUUAGCGGCUAAGCGAAAGCGUUAAGUAUUCCACCUGGGGAGUACGCCCGCAAGGGUGAAACUCAAAGGAAUUGACGGGGGCCCGCACAAGCGGAGGAGCAUGUGGUUUAAUUCGAUGAUACGCGAGGAACCUUACCCGGGCUUGAAAGUUAGUGAAUCAUUUAGAGAUAGAUGAGUGAGCAAUCACACGAAACUAGGUGCUGCAUGGUUGUCGUCAGCUCGUGCCGUGAGGUGUUGGGUUAAGUCCCGCAACGAGCGCAACCCCUAUGUUUAGUUGCCAGCACGUUAUGGUGGGGACUCUAAACAGACUGCCUGUGCAAACAGAGAGGAAGGAGGGGACGACGUCAAGUCAUCAUGGCCCUUACGUCCGGGGCUACACACGUGCUACAAUGGAUGGUACAGAGGGCAGCAAGCUGGUAACAGCAAGCAAAUCUCAAAAAGCCAUUCACAGUUCGGAUAGAGGUCUGCAACUCGACCUCUUGAAGUUGGAUUCGCUAGUAAUCGCGU
rnacentral:rRNA from 1 species